GACGAACGCUGGCGGCGUGCCUAAUACAUGCAAGUAGAACGCUGAAGAGAGGAGCUUACUCUUCUUGGAUGAGUUGCGAACGGGUGAGUAACGCGUAGGUAACCUGCCUUGUAGCGGGGGAUAACUAUUGGAAACGAUAGCUAAUACCGCAUAACAAUGGCUGACACAUGUCAUUUAUUUGAAAGGGGCAAUUGCUCCACUACAAGAUGGAACUGCGUUGUAUUAGCUAGUAGGUGAGGUAAUGGCUCACCUAGGCGACGAUACAUAGCCGACCUGAGAGGGGUAUCGGCCACACUGGGACUGAGACACGGCCCAGACUCCUACGGGAGGCAGCAGGAGGGAAUCUUCGGCAAUAGGGGCAACCCUGACCGAGCAACGCCGCGUGAGUGAAGAAGGUUGUCGGAUCGUAAAGCUCUGUUGUAAGUCAAGAAAGGGUGUGAGAGUGGAAAGUUCACACUGUGACGGUAGCUUACCAGAAAGGGACGGCUAACUACGUG
rnacentral:rRNA from 1 species